GUUGAAGAACGUAGCGAAAUGCGAUAAGUAAUGUGAAUUGCAGAAUUCAGUGAAUCAUCGAAUCUUUGAACGCACAUUGCGCCCGCCAGCACUCUGGCGGGCAUGCCUGUUCGAGCGUCAUUUCAACCAUCAAGCCCCCAGGGGCUUGUGCUGGGGCCCUGCGGCUGCCCGCAGGCCCUGAAAACCAGUGGCGGGCUCGCUAGUCACACCGAGCGCAGUAGCACAUCUCGCUCAGGGCGUGCGGCGGGCUCCUGCCGUGAAACCCCCCACUGUAACCCCAAAGGUUGACCUCGGAUCAGGUAGGAAUACCCGCUGAACUUAAGCAUAUCAAUAAGCGGAGGA
rnacentral:misc_RNA from 1 species